rnacentral:rRNA from 1 species
GACGUAGGGCGCGAGCGUUGUCCGGAUUUAUUGGGCGUAAAGAGCUCGUAGGCGGCUCAUUGCGUCAACCGUGAAAACCAGCAGCUCAACUGUUGGCUUGCGGUUGAUACGGGUGGGCUGGAGUUCGGUAGGGGAGACUGGAAUUCCUGGUGUAGCGGUGAAAUGCGCAGAUAUCAGGAGGGACACCGGUGGCGAAGGCGGGUCUCUGGGCCGAUACUGACGCUGAGGAGCGAAAGCGUGGGGAGCGAACAGG